GGCUCCAGCAAGAUAGCUCAGUCAUCACAGCGUGAGACUCUUAAUACUAGGGUCGUGGGUUUGAGCCCCACAUUGGUCG